UGUGAAGGUCAAUGCUGCUUUCCGAUCUAAGGGUGGUCAUGCUGUCAAAAAGUUGAAGCAAUCAUCUGGCAAUUUCACCCUAGUAUCGAAUAGACGUGAACAAUGACUUCCAGAUAUUACAGAUUCCCAAUGCUAUUUGGCGGAGUAAUUGGUGUACUAUAUUUCGGUUUCUCGAUGAGGAAGUGGUAUUUUGCUGAUGGAGUUGAGGCUGCAAGAAGAAAGAAUUAUGAGGACACCCAUUUAAGUGAAACAGCAAAGGCAUUGGAAAAGACAAUACGAGACGUAGAGAAGAAGGCGGGGCCAAAGACUUGAACUUCUUUGUGUGUGAUUUUGAACAGCUUGACCGGAGUGUUGAUAUUGUACAUACAUAAUUAAAGACAAUGUUACAUUAUCAAGUCAUGGAUCAGGGAUUUAAUUUAGGAUUCCAAUCUAAGUGUCCUGUUCAAAACUGGAUUUUUUUUCAGAUUCAGUGGUAUUUUAACACUGCAUUCAUUGCAAUAAAGUAAAAAUAAUCAUUAAGGCCUCUAACCCUUUAUUUGUCCUGUUGAAAUACAAGCAUGGCAUGUACAUGAGCUGGGAAAUGUUGACAUUUGCUGUAGACUAGAGCUGAAAGUCAACCUCUGAACAUGUCUAGUUUAAUCUCACAUGAAGUAUGACUGUGAUUACAACAAAUGUAUUUUGCCAGUUAUGUCAAGUCUGUUGCCUUUUUACUUUAUUAAUCCGUGGGGUAGCUAAUUGUGAAUAAAGUGUUCGAUUGUUAUAAGGAUGUUCGAUUCCCAACAUGGGUACUACGUGUGAAGCUAUUUUCGGGGUUUCCCAAACAAGAUAAUGCUGGAAAAUGCUUAAAGGUGUAAAACCAUACUCACUCACUAUGAGUGUUGGUCUUAUAAUAGUUUAAAGAAGGUAUUCCAGACAGAAGAUCCGUCCAUUAUUCAACUUGAUAAACCUGUUUUGACAAUCUUGCAAAAUUCAUUCAAAGUUUUGACUGAAAAAGCUUUACAGUUCCUGACACCUGGAUGUAAUGUAAAUUCAUACCUGUUAAUUAUGUGAACAGCUAUGGGUCUCUAUGUAAUUGCAGAUUCAUCAGAAUGCUUGACUGGUUUUGUUUCACUCUAUCAAUGUCCAAUUUUCCAAUGUCUCCAUCCUGAAUAAUUGUCAUUCAUGAAUAAUGUCAUAAAGUAAUUGAAUGAAUGCUGUUCAAUAUUAAUAAGAAUAGUAAGGCUAUUCGCCUAUUGCCGAUGCUGUGUACAUGUCAUGGGGUGCAAUUUCCUUUGUCUGCCAUUUCGUUGCCGGUUCAACAGCACCCAAUUCAUACUUUUUAAUGUAACCACGUGCUGUCCGUGUUGGAUGUUGAUAUGUUUGAUGUCAAAAGACACGAGGGUGGGAUUAAUUUAUCAUCUAACAUCAUUCUUCCAACUCUUGCUGUUUGUAGACAGUAAUAAGCAGUGUCUUCAGUGUAAAAAGUACUGCUAACAGCUUCAGUAGCAGAGCCAUUAGUGAUGUCAUUUGAUUGUGAUGUCAUGGUAACCAAUGACAUCACAAUGGUCUGCAAAGCAUUGUGAUGCAAUUUCAUUGCAGCGUUAUCAACAUUGUAGAUAUAUCGCUUGAUAUCACCCAAGCAAUAUCUCCUGUGGGAGCCAGUUUUGGAUGAUAAAGUAAGUUUAACACUAACAUGGUGGAGUUGGACAGUCAGCAUGGUAGGGUCCUCAGUAACAACUAAAGGGGGACAAGACCUGGGUCUAAUGGCAGCCGCAGCAAGUUUGAACCAAGUUGUUAAACACUUACUUUAUCAGGAUGCUAAUUAAAUCCAUAUUGUAGUUACAAAUUAAACCAAGAUAAUGUCUCAAGUUCCCACAUUGCUCUAAAUACAAGGUGUAGACUGAAAAACAUGAAAUGAGGACAAGACUGCUGAGAAUUACGGUAUCUCCCUUUUUACCAUUUAGAAAAAUGCAUGCUUUAGCUACAUUUGUGAUGCAUUUUGAAAAGUCUAUGCUGUCUGACAUAAUUUGUGUCAUGUAAAUCUGAGUAUGUUAUAUUAUUUUCUGACCAGCAAUAACUUUCAUGGGGAAGUUUAGGCCUUGACAAAGACGUAUAUACGUCUCUGGGCCUUGAUUUUCAAAAGGUUUGCAUUGCCAAGAGAACGAGCUAUAUAUUAUUGAUUUUGGAUAUAUUUUUUACACAUGAUAUACUAUUCAAAUUUACAACUAUAAUUGCAAAGCUUAGAUGUGUUUAAGCAUGAUAAAAGUCAUACUCUUUAUUGUUGGAUGUUUGCCAACGGUAUUAAUUAUCUGUACAUCAUAUAGCAAAUGUAUCAGGGAUGAGAUCAAUUGUGCAUGAUAGUGUGUGCGAAGUAAUAUUUGUAAAAAUGAAAAUAUGAAUAGUUGAAUAUGGAAAUCAGCAAGUGAGUGGCAUCUUUGAUAUAUGAUGUUUUGACUUUUGCAAAAUGGAGUCAAUGACUGGCAAAAUAAAGAAACACCAGUUUGACAAAUGCUUGUUGAGUCUUUCCUUUCACAGAAUAAAUAUUGAAUGAACUUUGUAGAUACACUGCAUAUUAAUUGCAUAUCAUGUAAAUUCCAGGACACCUGCCUGUAAUGCACUUUUUUUGACUUAAAGAAUUAAUGAUAUUAUAAUUUAGUGUGUUGAGCAACAUGUUCUACAAUAAUAUUAUAUUACCACUGGAAGAGUUUUAUUAUUGCACAGAACCUGCUUUUCAGUAACCAUGGUAACCAAUUCCAAUUGGUUUUCCCUACUCAUACUUGUAGGUGCACCAGUUCAAUUGAUUAGUGUUGUCUUUGUCAGUUUUAUUUAUAGGCCAGGUCAAUUUGAGUUUGUUUAAUAGAGUUAUUUGUUCAGUAAGGAGGAGACAGAGAGGGGCAUAAAAGAUUAAGGUCAGGUGUGUGUUCAUGAAAAAAUGAUACAGCAAAAAGAGGGUUUGGCCAAAAUUUAUCUCAACUAUUAGGGGGUGUUUUUUUAAAAGAAAUGACAGUUCUAUUUUUUCAAAUAUUUUUUUUAUAAAUUUGAAAAGUAUUUUGGGACUGGUCAUUUCGUAAAACACUGCCUCGACAAAUCUCAAAUAAAUCUAUUUAAAUGAAAUUCUAGAAUGAAAACGUGCAUAAGACGUUACGUAUCGGUUGACAAUGCACACAUUUCACGGGAGCACGUGGAUUUGUUUACAUCGGAUGCAGCUGACUAUUUUGCAUCAACAAUUUUCAUUGGCUACUGUGGUGUACUUUACCCAAUGAUCGUCCGCGAUACGUUUAACCUUGGAACGUGUGCCCUGUCGCCGACGAAUGGAGGCGGAAGCGAUGUUGAAACGAAAUUCUCCAAAUCUUGGUCUCGUGAGAGGUUUGAAACUCGUCGUUGGAGGAAUAGUCGGAUUUCAUCUGUCAUUUAUGUGCUACACGUAUCUCAGGAGGACAUACUAUGAGACGCCCCUGGAGAGGAAAAUCCGACCCGAGGAGGGUCCCCAGGAGUGACAAGGGGAGUGACAAGGGGAGUGACAAGGGGACAUGUAGGGAUGUGAUACUUGGAUUAAUCACGAGACAAUCGCAUGAUAAACAAUUCCAGAUAUGCACUUCCAUCAACUAGCCGAGUGUGUGACAGACGAACAUCAGUUGUGGGAGUCUUACACAGGGUGGUGGAGUUGCACCAAGGAGGAAGUUUUAGUCAAUACAACAGAAAACAAGUCCCUGUAUAUAAAAGUAUAUUAAAUUAGGUUAUUAUUUGAAAUGUAUAUGACCUUAGGAACUAUGUUGAACCUGUAUCUAUAGUAUGUCCAUGUACAUUUCCCGAGCAGUGGAACUAGCUGGCCGACAAUCAUACACAAGUCAAGCGAUCAGUUAAGUUAUAAUCAACCUCUGGUCCUAGUUUGAAAAUCCCUGUUCUAAGUACAUGUACUGUCAUAUGAAACUUGUGUACACUAUCCAGGGCUUUAUUUUAGCUAUACAAAGCAUGCACAAGUGCAACUUAUUAUUGAAAAAUGCAACCUAAUAUUUAUGUCAACAUGCACUUAGUGCCUAUCAAAAACAAUUGUGUCCUUCUUACCUUUUCUUUUGUCCACACAAAAUUGUUCUUUGAACACACUCAAUACCUCUAAAGUUUAUUUACCAUACAACAUCUUGUCAUGUCAUGCUUUCUUAGGCGUGAUGUUUUCACACUGUGAGUAGGGCGGUGGGGUAGCCUAGUGGUUAAAGCAUUCGCUUGUAACGUCGAAGACCUGGGUUCAGGUCCCCACAUGGGUACAAUGUGUGAAGCCAAUUUCUGGUGUCCCCCAAGUGAUAUUGCUGGAAUAUUGCUAAAAGCAUCGUAAAACACCAUUCACUCACUCACACUGUGGGUACUUCACACCAUACAUCAGUAGUUUUUGUGACCCCAGCAAUAGAUCGACCUAUGUUUUAACUUCGAGACCAGGUUGCAACCUGGUUCUGUUUGGUGCAACUUAGUUUUCAUGUCAACAUGCACCUGGUGCAAGUAAGAUCAAGUUCCUUAAAUCAAGCCCUGCUGUCUCAUUUGCACAGCUGUCUAUUGCAUGUGUAGUUGUGUACGCAAAUGAAUUCACAUAUUAUGCCUAUAAAAUCAAAACAAAAUUAA